rnacentral:rRNA from 1 species
AGAGUUUGAUCAUGGCUCAGGACGAACGCUGGCGGCGUGCUUAACACAUGCAAGUCGAACGGAAAGGCCCUUCGGGGUACUCGAGUGGCGAACGGGUGAGUAACACGUGGGUGAUCUGCCCUGCACUUUGGGAUAAGCCUGGGAAACUGGGUCUAAUACCGAAUAGGACCACGCGCUUCAUGGUGUGUGGUGGAAAGCUUUUGCGGUGUGGGAUGGGCCCGCGGCCUAUCAGCUUGUUGGUGGGGUAAUGGCCUACCAAGGCGACGACGGGUAGCCGGCCUGAGAGGGUGACCGGCCACACUGGGACUGAGAUACGGCCCAGACUCCUACGGGAGGCAGCAGUGGGGAAUAUUGCACAAUGGGCGCAAGCCUGAUGCAGCGACGCCGCGUGAGGGAUGACGGCCUUCGGGUUGUAAACCUCUUUCACCAGGGACGAAGCGCAAGUGACGGUACCUGGAGAAGAAGCACCGGCCAACUACGUGCCAGCAGCCGCGGUAAUACGUAGGGUGCGAGCGUUGUCCGGAAUUACUGGGCGUAAAGAGCUCGUAGGUGGUUUGUCGCGUUGUUCGUGAAAACUCACAGCUUAACUGUGGGCGUGCGGGCGAUACGGGCAGACUAGAGUACUGCAGGGGAGACUGGAAUUCCUGGUGUAGCGGUGGAAUGCGCAGAUAUCAGGAGGAACACCGGUGGUGAAGGCGGGUCUCUGGGCAGUAACUGACGCUGAGGAGCGAAAGCGUGGGGAGCGAACAGGAUUAGAUACCCCGGUAGUCCAA